GGGCGCGCCGAGUCCCGAGCGGGGAGGCCCGCCCCGAACCCCCGCGCUCCGCCCGCCGCCGCCGCGGCUCUGUCGCCUGUCUGUAGGUUAAUAAUCUUUGCUGUCUCUCAAGUUCUCCUCUCUCAAGUUCACCCUAAAAGAGAAGGAAUGUGGAAAGGCCAAGUUUCCUUGAACCCCCGUCUUCACCCAAGUGUCUGCUUGGGCUCGCUGAAAGUUACUCGUCGAGGAGUCCAAAGAGAAGUGUGCAAGGAAUUGUGGAGAAAGCUAGGAGAAAGAGGCGCAUCAUUGGUAUUUGUCAAAAUGUCUAAACAGGAAAAGACUAGGCUGCGUGGAGCGCUACUUUAUGCUUAAGAAAGUGAUUUAACGUGGCUGUGUUAUGUAUGAAGUUGAAUUAAGAAUGAUUUAAGCAGGAAGUUCCACGUUGAAAUUGGACAUAAAGAGGUGAAGGAAAAUCCAGUGAGAAACGGCUGGGGAAAGGAGAAAUAUUUGAAUUUGGGUGCUACCAGAUACAAAUGAUGUCAAGGUUUGGAACUAUUUUAAAAAUUAGUUUGAGCAUUUCCUUUUGUUGUUUUUAAACUCCUACUAGCAGAAAGACUAUAAAAUACUAAUCAGCAUAUCCGAGAUCCAGACUAGCUUUCCAGAGUCAUCACGUAUCAUUCUGGGCCUUCUGCUGUAAAGUAUGAGGGGGAGCUGGAACAGGGGUACUGGUAUCUCACUGCCUUGAAAUUUCACUAUUAAUCUUUUCUUUGAAUCUCAAAAAACUUUCGUCUUCAAGAGUCAUAUAGCAAACUACAGCUAACAGUUGAAUUGCCCUGCAAAAUAGGCCAGAGUCUAGCUGCCUAUUGGAAAGGUAAGCAGGAGAGCCAGUGUGGAUGGUACCUGGAGAGAAGGCACUGAAUGGGCUGGUUCAGAAGUCACAGAGAACAAACCUGUCUUCAGCUUCAUUCGGGGCCCAGAGGGACCCCAACUGACUCAGCUCUGUCAUUGCCACAUGCUGUUGUUGACUCUAUCCUAGCCUCUCAGUUCAUUCCUUUUCUUUCUGUCCAAUACCUCCAUGAUCUUCAAGAUCCAGCCAAGUCAGAAAUUUUCCUGGACUGCAUCUUUCCACCACCUCUGGUCACAUCUUUUCCACAGUUCCCUGAAUGCUUUCUAGCAGAAGUACAAGUGAUUACUCUUCUACAACCUAUUACAAAUCAGCUGAAGCUCACAUCUCAUAAAUGAAGAAAAACCUAGAGUCAACAAGGAGACAUCCUUAAUAUAAAACGAUGAAAAAAAGGAGUCCCACAGAGGUGGUGCCAUUUUGCUACGGGCACGCAGCUGGAUGAAAACAUGGAAAGGUGGAUAGAUCCUAAGUCACAGAUGAAGGAUUGAGUGGCUGAAUAGCCAACUCUGCAUGCGUGCUAAGCCGCUUCAGUUGUGUCCAACUCUUUACGACCCUAUGGACUAUAGCCCACCAAGCUCCUCCUCUUGCCCGUGGGAUUCUCCAGGCAAGAAUAUUGGAGUGGGUUGCCACUUCCUCCUCCAGCGGAUUUUCCCGACCAGGGAUCAAACCUGUGUCUCCUGCAUUGGCAGAUAUGACUCAUUACUCUUGGUGUAAUCUCCAAGGACCAGAAGCUCUACUUAAAAUUUCCAUAAUGACACUAUGCUGCUGCUGCUGCCGCUAAGUCACUUCAGUCGUGUCGACUCUGCGACCCCAUAGACGGCAGCCCACCAGGCGCUCCCGUCCCUGGGAUUCUCCAGGCAAGAACACUGGAGUGGGUUGCCAUUGCCUUCUCCAAUGCAUGAAAGUGAAAAGUGAAAGUGAAGUCACUCAGUCAUGUCCGACUCUUAGUGACCCCGUGGACUGCAGCCUACCAGGCUCCUCCAUCCAUGGGAUUUUCCAGGCAAGAGUACUGGA